rnacentral:rRNA from 1 species
GACGAACGCUGGCGGCGUGCUUAACACAUGCAAGUCGAACGAUGAACCCGGAGCUUGCUCUGGGGGAUUAGUGGCGAACGGGUGAGUAACACGUGAGUAACCUGCCCUGGACUCUGGGAUAAGCGUUGGAAACGACGUCUAAUACCGGAUAGGGCCUUGGAUCGCAUGAUCUGGGGUGGAAAGUUUUUUCGGUCUGGGAUGGACUCGCGGCCUAUCAGCUUGUUGGUGAGGUAAUGGCUCACCAAGGCGUCGACGGGUAGCCGGCCUGAGAGGGUGACCGGCCACACUGGGACUGAGACACGGCCCAGACUCCUACGGGAGGCAGCAGUGGGGAAUAUUGCACAAUGGGCGAAAGCCUGAUGCAGCAACGCCGCGUGCGGGAUGACGGCCGUCGGGUUGUAAACCGCUUUUAGUAGGGAAGAAGGGCUUCGGCUUGACGGUACCUGCAGAAAAAGGACCGGCUAACUACGUG